ACUCCUACGGGAGGCAGCAGUGGGAAGUAUUGCACAAUGGGGGAAACCCUGAUGCAGCCAUGCCGCGUGUGUGAAGAAGGCCUUGGGUUGUAAAGCACUUUCAGUAGGGAGGAAGGUAGUGCAGUUAACACCUGCAUUAUUUGACGUUACCUACAGAAGAAGCACCGGCUAACGUCCGUGCCAGCAGCCGCGGUAAGUACGGAGGGUGCGAGCGUUAAUCGGAAUUACGUGGGCGUAAAGCGCAUGCAGGCGGCCUGUUAAGUCAGAUGUGAAAGCCCGGGGUCUUAACCGUCGGAAUUGCAUUUGAAACUGGCAGGCUAGAGUCUUGUAGAGGGGUUAGAA
rnacentral:rRNA from 1 species